UACUAGUGGUUUACAGUGUUCUUCAAUGCACUGAAAGUACAAGUAAGAAGACCCCAAGAGUUGAGGAUGUAGCUUAGUGGUAGAGGAUUUGCCUAGCAUGUGCAAGGUCCUGAGUUCCAUCCCCAGCACUGUAGGAUGAAAACAAAAUAAGCAAGACUCCAGAAUUCAGUAGUACUGACCAUUUCUAAACCAAUAGCCUAGAAUAAUGCUUGCAAAGUCUGGAAUACAUGGUAUGUAUCAGUCAUACAUCUGGAGUCUUAAUUUUUUAGCUUUUAUAGUAGACCCCACAUUCCCCAAAGUUUGUAUUUUAUGUUCAGCAUUUUAGAAUGUGUAUUCUGUUAAUUACUAUAUCCUGGGUUAUAUUCUGUACUGUACAUAGCUACUUAAAGCUCGCCAUACUUAUCUUUUGUGACAAUUUGUAUUUGUAUGGUUGCAUAGGUGGGGAAUUUUUUGCAAGAUGAAAAAAGGUUGGAUUUUACUUGCCACUGCAGAAAGUUCAAAACAAAACAGAACAUUAACUUUCUGUAUAUUUUUCCAAUUCCCAUGCAGACUGUUCUUGUUUUAUUAGGUCUUUGGUUUUAGCAAAAAGAGUGUUUACUUAAAAUGUGUGAGGGUUCAUAUGUCUGGUUGUCGUUUUUGUUUCUCAAAUCUGUACAGGUUUACAGUCUUCGCUUUUGUUAAAGUUUGAAUUGCUUUGCUAUUUUGCUCUGUCCUCACAGAGGUAUUCAGUCUCUGUAUACUCUUAAAAGAAGAAAAAGCAAAGGAGGGUAUCUUUAUUCUUUAUCGUUUUCUUUGAGUUGGAAACAAAAGUAUGUAUGAAGGACUACAACUAGAAGAUAGACAUGCAUUUAAAUAGGCUAGUGGAAAAAAGUUUUUACCGUUUUCUUUCUGUUUUAGAGACAGUUAAAAGACUGCUCCUUGUACUGGGAGAUACCAGUGUAUGCUUCUAUUGUUGCCUUGAAAUUAUCUUUUUAUUUUUUAAGGCCUAUAGAUACUAUUACCUUUAAAGUCUUUAAAGUUAGGUUUCAUGCCAGCAGCCUCUAAUGUAUUAUAAAUGGCAACCCUAUCUUCUUAUUCUGUUAAAAUUGUAUAUGAACACCUGUCUAUUUUACAAACUUACAUAUAUGACAGUGUUGUCUACUUUGUCAUAGGCCAGUUUCUCUUGAAAUGUGACACCAAUUCAAGUGGCUUAGGUGCAGGGAGAGACCAAGAAUAGAUGCAGAGAGGCAGGAAGAGAAGUUACUAUUCAGAGGAAGGCAGCUUAAAUGGAUGAUGUUCUGUGUAUCAUUGAUAAGUUUCCUUGUGGUAUUGAAAAAUGUUUCUAAUUGUACUUGCCUGAUGUUUUAGUAUUGUUUUCUAGAUGGACUUGUAAAAACCAAACCGUGAUUUGUGAGGUUAGAAGUGUGUAUUUGGGGGCCUCAGGUGUGUGUGUGGUUUUAUUUUCCUCCAGACGUUUUGAACUUUAGUCAAUAAUUGUGUGUGUUAUUUUUAAGAAGUAACUUUUAUUUUUUCUCUAGUAAAAUUGUGAACACAUUUUCCUUCUGAAGGCAGGAUAUGAGCUAUGGAUUCUGAAAAGUAUUGUAGGUUGUACUAUGUGCCUUCUUAGUGUGUUUAUGGGCACAAUGUUUUCUCUCAUCAACUUGAAACUUAAAAGGGACAUUUUGGUUAGAUUACUGUACACCAAUCUAUGCAUAAAUGGCAGCUUGUUUUCUUGAGCCACUAUCUAAUUGUUCUUUUUUUAUAUAUAAAUUUUUUUAUAUUGAUUGGGUCAGAGAUGGUCAGUUUUAUACAGAAUGAACAGCACAGCACUUUGCCAAAAAACCCCAAAAAACAAAAAACAUGUAGCAUUGCUUAACCAUUGUGUAUUAAUACCAGUUCUUUGUAAUGGGUUCAGUAGUGCAUUUUGCACUGCACAGAGUUUUUAAAUCUGUCAGUAAAUAAAAUGUCCUUUAACUU
rnacentral:lncRNA from 1 species